AGCAUAUCAAUAAGCGGAGGAAAAGAAACUAACAAGGAUUCCCCUAGUAACGGCGAGUGAAGAGGGAAGAGCCCAAGAUUGAAAGCUGGCGUCUUCGGCGUCCGCAUUGUAAUCUCAAGAAGUGUUUUCCGCUUCGGACCAUGCCUAAGUCCCUUGGAAAAGGGCAUCAUAGAGGGUGAUAAUCCCGUACAUGGCAUGGAGCGCCCGAAGCUUUGUGAUACGCUUUCUAAGAGUCGAGUUGUUUGGGAAUGCAGCUCAAAAUGGGUGGUAAAUGCCAUCUAAGGCUAAAUAUUGGGGAGAGACCGAUAGCGAACAAGUACAGUGAUGGAAAGAUGAAAAGAACUUUGAAAAGAGAGUUAAACAGUACGUGAAAUUGCCAAAAGGGAAGGGUAGGAGGUCAGAGAUGCGGCCUAGGAUUCAGCCUUGCUUUUGCUUGGUGUUUUUCCUAGGUUGCAGGCCAACGUCGGUUUUGGGCACUGGAGAAGGGUGGAAGGAAUGUGGCACCUCUCGGGGUGUGUUAUAGCCUUCUACUGGAUACAGCGACCGAGACCGAGGACAGCAGCGUACUCGCAAGAGCGGGCCUUCGGGCACCUUUACGCUUAGGGCGUUGGCAUAAUGGCCCUCUACCACCCGUCUUGAAACACGGACCAAGGAGUCUAACAUGUAUGCGAGUCUUUGGGUGGCAAACCCAUAGGCGCAAUGAAAGUGAAUUCAGGUGGGAUCCGCAAGGUGCACCAUCGACCGAUCCUCACGUCUUUUUAAGUCGUGGAUUUGAGUAAGAGCAUACCUGUUGGGACCCGAAAGAUGGUGAACUAUGCCUGAAUAGGGUGAAGCCAGAGGAAACUCUGGUGGAGGCUCGUAGCGGUUCUGACGUGCAAAUCGAUCGUCAAAUUUGGGUAUAGGGGCGAAAGACUAAUCGAACCAUCUAGUAGCUGGUUCCUGCCGAAGU
rnacentral:rRNA from 1 species